rnacentral:lncRNA from 1 species
AGACUUGAAUUUUAUUUACCUUUUUAAAAAGAAUGUCAUAGAACUCCUUAGUAAAUUGUCUGUUUUUCUGUCAUAGUUUUUCCAAUUCUAUUGUUGUCUACUGUUGCUGUUUAGCAUUGUAAAGACAGUUUCCCUAGUACAGGAAAACUGAAGGAAGGAGGACACAGGAUAGCGUGGAGCACAGGUUAAAGUGGGACAUGAAAUUACAACUGGAACAGGACCCAAGAAGAAAAUAGCAAAACGGAAUGCAUCUGAAGCUAUGUUAUUACAGCUUGGCUAUAAAGCCUCUUCCUCUACUUCAAGAACAGCCAGAAACGAGCUAAUCCCCAGAAAGACACUUUCAUCUGCCGAUUAGUCAUGCCCCUGCAAGCCUCAAUAACCCGAGGGUAAGUUAUUGAUGUGUUAAAGAUGUAAUCGCAAAGGCUCA